rnacentral:rRNA from 1 species
AACGCUGGCGGUCUGCUUACACAUGCAAGUCGAACGCAACCUUCGGGUUGAGUGGCGGACGGGUGAGUAACGCGUGAGAAUCUGCCUUGGGGUCGGGGACAACCACUGGAAACGGUGGCUAAUACCGGAUAAGCCUUUGGGUAAAAGAUUUAUUGCCCCAAGAGGAGCUCGCGUCUGAUUAGCUAGUUGGUGAGGUAAAAGCUCACCAAGGCAGCGAUCAGUAGCUGGUCUGAGAGGACGAUCAGCCACACUGGGACUGAGACACGGCCCAGACUCCUACGGGAGGCAGCAGUGGGGAAUUUUCCGCAAUGGGCGAAAGCCUGACGGAGCAAGACCGCGUGAGGGAGGAAGGCUCUUGGGUUGUAAACCUCUUUUCUCAGGGAAGAAGCUCUGACGGUACCUGAGGAAUCAGCCUCGGCUAACUCCGUGCCAGCAGCCGCGGUAAUACGGAGGAGGCAAGCGUUAUCCGGAAUUAUUGGGCGUAAAGCGUCCGCAGGUGGCGAUUCAAGUCUGCUGUCAAAGCACGGGGCUUAACUCCGUUAAGGCAGUGGAAACUGAAUAGCUAGAGUGCCGUAGGGGUAGAGGGAAUUCCCGGUGUAACGGUGAACUGCGUACAGAUCGGGAAGAACAUCGGUGGCGAAAGCGCUCUACUGGACGGCAACUGACACUCAGGGACGAAAGCUACGGGAGCGACUGGGAUUAGAUACCCCAGUAGUCCUAGCUGUAAACGAAGGAUACUAGGUGUAGCUUGUAUCGACCC